rnacentral:lncRNA from 1 species
UUGUGACUUCUACAUAAGUCCAAUUACGAUUGCUUAACAUAGAGCUAAAUUUGACCCUAAAGGGAAAGUGGGUUUUCUAUAUAACAUUCUUGUCUGUUGGAUUGCAUCCCAUUGAUCAGAUCUUUUUAACUCUUAAAUUUUAAAUUUAUGCUUAGGAUAGUCUCAUCAUCUUCUCCCACUUCUUAUAAAGGGAAAGUGGGUUUUCUAUAUAACAUUCUUGUCUGUUGGAUUGCAUCCCAUUGAUCAGAUCUUUUUAACUCUUAAAUUUUAAAUUU